rnacentral:rRNA from 1 species
AUUGAACGCUGGCGGCAGGCCUAACACAUGCAAGUCGAGCGGAUGAAGGGAGCUUGCUCCUGGAUUCAGCGGCGGACGGGUGAGUAAUGCCUAGGAAUCUGCCUGGUAGUGGGGGAUAACGUCCGGAAACGGGCGCUAAUACCACAUACGUCCUGAGGGAGAAAGUGGGGGAUCUUCGGACCUCACGCUAUCAGAUGAGCCUAGGUCGGAUUAGCUAUUUGGUGGGGUAAAGGCCUACCAAGGCGACGAUCCGUAACUGGUCUGAGAGGAUGAUCAGUCACACUGGAACUGAGACACGGUCCAGACUCCUACGGGAGGCAGCAGUGGGGAAUAUUGGACGAUGGGCGAAAGCCUGAUCCAGCCAUGCCGCGUGUGUGAAGAAGGUCUUCGGAUUGUAAAGCACUUUAAGUUGGGAGGAAGGGCAGUAAGUUAAUACCUUGCUGUUUUGACGUUACCAACAGAAUAAGCACCGGCUAACUUCGUG